rnacentral:rRNA from 1 species
AGAGAUGGGCGGGUGCCUUCGGGAAUCGGAACACAGGUGCUGCAUGGCUGUCGUCAGCUCGUGUCGUGAGAUGUUGGGUUAAGUCCCGCAACGGAGCGCAACCCUUGUCCUUAGUUGCCAGCACGUAAUGGUGGGAACUCUAAGGAGACUGCCGGUGACAAACCGGAGGAAGGUGGGGAUGACGUCAAGUCACCAUGGCCCUUACGGCCAGGGCUACACACGUACUACAAUGGGAGGUACAGAGGGAAGCAAUGCCGCGAGGCGGAGCCAAUCCCCAGAAAACCUCUCUCAGUCCGGAUCGCAGUCUGCAACUCGACUGCGUGAAGUCGGAAUCGCUAGUAAUCGCGAAUCAGCAUUGUCGCGGUGAAUACGUUCCCGGGCCUUGUACACACCGCCCGUCACACCAUGGGAGUUGGUUGCUCCAGAAGCAGGUAGCCUAACCGCAAGGAGGGCGCUUGCCACGGAGUGGUCAAUGACUGGGGUGAAGUCGUAACAAGGUAGGCGUAGCGAG